GCCAGGCAGUAAGUCACUGUGAGUUACUGCUUAUUUUCUUUUUAAAAGAAAAAGUAAAAGAGGUUCAGAGUACACAGAGGAGGAUUAAAAUGACCGUGUUGAAGAUGGAAAGGUCAAGGCCUCCAUCAUAUAGAAAGGUCCAGAGGUGGUGCUGAUAAUCUAGAUUUGACUCUAUCACUUCUCAUGUCACAACAAUACAAACUUCGAUAACUCACAUCUUGAAGAAAAUACAACCUCUUGUCUGGCUCACCAUAUUGAAAGAAAGGAGAAAGUCCGAUUCUCCCACCAAGAGCUCUUCUUUCUGCUCAUAUCUCAUUUUAGAACCUACGAUGUCAGAAUUCUCCAAAACACUGGAAUAGCUUUCAGUGUCAGAAACUGAACUUCUGCACUUGGUUAUAUUGAAAACAUAAGAUUCUUAAGAUUAAAAAAGAGAAUAGGGU